AGAGUUUGAUCAUGGCUCAGAGCGAACGCUGGCGGCAGGCUUAACACAUGCAAGUCGAGCGGGCGUAGCAAUACGUCAGCGGCAGACGGGUGAGUAACGCGUGGGAACGUACCUUUUGGUUCGGAACAACACAGGGAAACUUGUGCUAAUACCGGAUAAGCCCUUACGGGGAAAGAUUUAUCGCCGAAAGAUCGGCCCGCGUCUGAUUAGCUAGUUGGUGAGGUAACGGCUCACCAAGGCGACGAUCAGUAGCUGGUCUGAGAGGAUGAUCAGCCACAUUGGGACUGAGACACGGCCCAAACUCCUACGGGAGGCAGCAGUGGGGAAUAUUGGACAAUGGGGGCAACCCUGAUCCAGCCAUGCCGCGUGAGUGAUGAAGGCCCUAGGGUUGUAAAGCUCUUUUGUGCGGGAGGAUAAUGACGGUACCGCAAGAAUAAGCCCCGGCUAACUUCGUGCCAGCAGCCGCGGUAAUACGAAGGGGGCUAGCGUUGCUCGGAAUCACUGGGCGUAAAGGGUGCGUAGGCGGGUUUUUAAGUCAGGGGUGAAAUCCUGGAGCUCAACUCCAGAACUGCCUUUGAUACUGAAGAUCUCGAGUCCGGGAGAGGUGAGUGGAACUGCGAGUGUAGAGGUGAAAUUCGUAGGUAUUCGCAAGAACACCAGUGGCGAAGGCGGCUCACUGGCCCGGUACUGACGCUGAGGCACGAAAGCGUGGGGAGCAAACAGGAUUAGAUACCCUAGUAGUCC
rnacentral:rRNA from 1 species